AUUCAAUAAACAAUUUGUACUCAUAUAAUAGCGGGAAUAUGGCCCGCAAGUUUCUACCAAAUCACCGUAAACGAUUUGACUAUGAGUAAACGAUGCAUAUCG
rnacentral:ncRNA from 2 species